UACGAAGGGGGCUAGCGUUGCUCGGAAUCACUGGGCGUAAAGGGUGCGUAGGCGGGUCUUUUAAGUCAGGGGUGAAAUCCUGGAGCUCAACUCCAGAACUGCCUUUGAUACUGAAGAUCUUGAGUUCGGGAGAGGUGAGUGGAACUGCGAGUGUAGAGGUGAAAUUCGCAGAUAUCAGGAGGAACACCGAUGGCGAAGGCAGCUCGCUGGGACGGUACUGACGCUGAGGCGCGAAAAGCGUGGGGAGCAAACAGGG
rnacentral:rRNA from 1 species